CAAGAUAAAGUUUAUAUUAAAACAAUUCUCUUACACAGAAAAAAAAUUUGUUCAAACCAAAUUAUCUUGA
rnacentral:tRNA from 1 species